AAUCAACGCUGGCGGCGUGCCUCAGACAUGCAAGUCGAACGCGAAAGUCCCCUUCGGGGGACGAAGUAGAGUGGCGCACGGGUGAGUAACACGUAGGUAAUCUACCUUCGGAUGGGGAAUAACAACCGGAAACGGUUGCUAAUACCGCAUAAUGCAGCGGCACCUAAUGGUGGACAGUUGUUAAAGCGGGGGGAUCGAAAGACCUCGCGUCUGAAGAGGAGCCUGCGGCGGAUUAGCUAGNGGUAAGGUAAUGGCUUACCAAGGCGACGAUCCGUAGCCGGCCUGAGAGGGCGGUCGGCCACACUGACACUGACAU
rnacentral:rRNA from 1 species